rnacentral:rRNA from 1 species
CAGUCGCGUCGGCUGGAAAUCAACCUUGCUUUUGCUGGGUGUACUUUCUAGUUGACGGGCCAGCAUCAGUUUUGACCGGUGGAAAAAAGUCCAAGGGGAAUGUGGCACCUUCGGGUGUGUUAUAGCCCUUGGUCGUAUACAUCGGUUGGGACUGAGGAACUCAGCAUGCCGCAAGGCCGGUCUUCGGACACGUCCGUGCUUAGGAUGCUGGCGUAAUGGCUUUAAACGACCCGUCUUGAAACACGGACCAAGGAGU